rnacentral:misc_RNA from 1 species
GUGAAUCAUCAAAUUUUUGAACGCAAAUUGCGCCUUUUUCGAAAGGCAUGUCUGUUUGAGGGCCUCAUUUAACAAAUAAUGUGCAGCGUUUUUUGCUGCACACGUUGAUGAGCUUUCCGAGAAUUUUAAAUUUUUGGUGGCGCAUAAUGAACAGCGUGAAGCUUUUUUUUCAGUUCGAGUGUAGUAAAAUCUUUGCUUGGGCUGUGAAAAGCGUAAUCGCGCAAUGGGUGUGGCGAUUCUACUAACCCUGCCCCAACGCCACUCUUUCUCGCGAAAGAUUUAAUCUUCAGGGCCUCAAAU